GACCCUGGCUCAGGACGAACGCUGGCGGCACGCUUAACACAUGCAAGUCGAACGAGAGAAGAGAAGCUUGCUUUUCUGAUCUAGUGGCGGACGGGUGAGUAACACGUGAGCAAUCUGCCUUUCAGAGGGGGAUACCGAUUGGAAACGAUCGUUAAUACCGCAUAAUAUAAUUGAACCGCAUGAUUUGAUUAUCAAAGAUUUAUCGCUGAAAGAUGAGCUCGCGU
rnacentral:rRNA from 1 species